rnacentral:rRNA from 1 species
AUUGAACGCUGGCGGCAUGCCUUACACAUGCAAGUCGAACGGCAGCACGGGUGCUUGCCCCUGGUGGCGAGUGGCGAACGGGUGUGUAAUACAUCGGAACAUGUCCUGGAGUGGGGGAUAGCCCGGCGAAAGCCGGAUUAAUACCGCAUACGAUCUACGGAUGAAAGCGGGGGACCUUCGGGCCUCGCGCUAUAGGGUUGGCCGAUGGCUGAUUAGCUAGUUGGUGGGGUAAAGGCCUACCAAGGCGACGAUCAGUAGCUGGUCUGAGAGGACGACCAGCCACACUGGGACUGAGACACGGCCCAGACUCCUACGGGAGGCAGCAGUGGGGAAUUUUGGACAAUGGGCGAAAGCCUGAUCCAGCAAUGCCGCGUGUGUGAAGAAGGCCUUCGGGUUGUAAAGCACUUUUGUCCGGAAAGAAAUCCUUGGCCCUAAUACGGUCGGGGGAUGACGGUACCGGAAGAAUAAGCACCGGCUAACUACGUG